rnacentral:rRNA from 1 species
CCUACGGGAGGCAGCAGUGGGGAAUAUUGCACAAUGGGCGAAAGCCUGAUGCAGCGACGCCGCGUGAGGGAUGACGGCCUUCGGGUUGUAAACCUCUUUCAGCAGGGAAGAAGCGAAAGUGACGGUACCUGCAGAAGAAGCGCCGGCUAACUACGUGCCAGCAGCCGCGGUAAUACGUAGGGCGCAAGCGUUGUCAGGAAUUAUUGGGCGUAAAGAGCUCGUAGGCGGCUUGUCACGUCGGGUGUGAAAGCCCGGGGCUUAACCCCGGGUCUGCAUUCGAUACGGGCUAGCUAGAGUGUGGUAGGGGAGAUCGGAAUUCCUGGUGUAGCGGUGAAAUGCGCAGAUAUCAGGAGGAACACCGGUGGCGAAGGCGGAUCUCUGGGCCAUUACUGACGCUGAGGAGCGAAAGCGUGGGGAGCGAACAGGAUUAAGAUACCCUGGUAGUCCACGACCGUAAACGGUGGGAACUAGGUGUUGGCGACAUUCCACGUCGUCGGUGCCGCAGCUAACGCAUUAACGUUCCCCGCCGUGGGAGUACGGCCGCAAGGACUAAACUCAAAGAGUAAGUCGCGNGNGAGACGCGACGACGACGACGACGGAGGAGAG